GCUUCAAUAGUGUAGUGGUUAGCACGCUCCCUGGAAAGGGUGAAACGCGAGUUCAACUCACGCCUGAGGUU